GAUGAACGCUGGCGGCGUGCCUAAUACAUGCAAGUCGAGCGAACAGACGAGGAGCUUGCUCCUUUGACGUUAGCGGCGGACGGGUGAGUAACACGUGGGUAACCUACCUAUAAGACUGGGAUAACUUCGGGAAACCGGAGCUAAUACCGGAUAAUAUUUCGAACCGCAUGGUUCGAUAGUGAAAGAUGGCUUUGCUAUCACUUAUAGAUGGACCUGCGCCGUAUUAGCUAGUUGGUAAGGUGACGGCUUACCAAGGCAACGAUACGUAGCCGACCUGAGAGGGUGAUCGGCCACACUGGAACUGAGACACGGUCCAGACUCCUACGGGAGGCAGCAGUAGGGAAUCUUCCGCAAUGGGCGAAAGCCUGACGGAGCAACGCCGCGUGAGUGAUGAAGGUCUUCGGAUUGUAAAACUCUGUUAUUAGGGAAGAACAAACGUGUAAGUAACUGUGCACGUCUUGACGGUACCUAAUCAGAAAGCCACGGCUAACUACGUG
rnacentral:rRNA from 1 species